rnacentral:rRNA from 1 species
UACGUAGGGUGCAAGCGUUAUCCGGAAUUAUUGGGCGUAAAGAGCUCGUAGGCGGUUUGUCGCGUCGAAUGUGAAAACCCGGGGCUCAACCCCGGGCCUGCAUUCGAUACGGGCAGACUAGAGUUCGGUAGGGGAGACGUGGAAUUCCUGGUGUAGCGGUGAAAUGCGCAGAUAUCAGGAGGAACACCGGUGGCGAAGGCGGGUCUCUGGGCAAUAACUGACGCUGAGGAGCGAAAGCGUGGGAGCGAACAGG